UCCAGACUCCUACGGGAGGCAGCAGUGGGGAAUAUUGGGCAAUGGGCGCAAGCCUGACCCAGCAACGCCGCGUGAAGGAAGAAGGCUUUCGGGUUGUAAACUUCUUUUCUCAGGGACGAAGCAAGUGACGGUACCUGAGGAAUAAGCCACGGCUAACUACGUGCCAGCAGCCGCGGUAAUACGUAGGUGGCAAGCGUUAUCCGGAUUUACUGGGUGUAAAGGGCGUGUAGGCGGGACUGCAAGUCAGAUGUGAAAUCCGCGGGCUUAACCCGCGAACUGCAUUUGAAACUGCGGAUCUUGAGUACCGGAGAGGUUAUCGGAAUUCCUUGUGUAGCGGUGAAAUGCGUAGAUAUAAGGAAGAACACCAGUGGCGAAGGCGGAUAACUGGACGGCAACUGACGGUGAGGCGCGAAAGCGUGGGGAGCAAACAGGAUUAGAUACCCGCGUAC
rnacentral:rRNA from 1 species